rnacentral:rRNA from 1 species
AGCGAACGCUGGCGGCAGGCCUAACACAUGCAAGUCGAACGAACCCUUCGGGGUUAGUGGCGGACGGGUGAGUAACACGUGGGAACGUGCCUUUAGGUUCGGAAUAACUCAGGGAAACUUGUGCUAAUACCGAAUGUGCCCUUCGGGGGAAAGAUUUAUCGCCUUUAGAGCGGCCCGCGUCUGAUUAGCUUGUUGGUGGGGUAAUGGCCCACCAAGGCGACGAUCAGUAGCUGGUCUGAGAGGAUGACCAGCCACAUUGGGACUGAGACACGGCCCAAACUCCUACGGGAGGCAGCAGUGGGGAAUCUUGCGCAAUGGGCGAAAGCCUGACGCAGCCAUGCCGCGUGGAUGAUGAAGGUCUUAGGAUUGUAAAAUCCUUUCACCGGUGAAGAUAAUGACUGUAGCCGGAGAAGAAGCCCCGGCUAACUUCGUGCCAGCAGCCGCCGUAACAC